rnacentral:rRNA from 1 species
GAUGAACGCUGGCGGCGUGCCUAAUACAUGCAAGUCGAGCGAACGGACGAGAAGCUUGCUUUUCUGAUGUUAGCGGCGGACGGGUGAGUAACACGUGGAUAACCUACCUAUAAGACUGGGAUAACUUCGGGAAACCGGAGCUAAUACCGGAUAAUAUUUUGAACCGCAUGGUUCAAAAGUGAAAGACGGUCUUGCUGUCACUUAUAGAUGGAUCCGCGCUGCAUUAGCUAGUUGGUAAGGUAACGGCUUACCAAGGCAACGAUGCAUAGCCGACCUGAGAGGGUGAUCGGCCACACUGGAACUGAGACACGGUCCAGACUCCUACGGGAGGCAGCAGUAGGGAAUCUUCCGCAAUGGGCGAAAGCCUGACGGAGCAACGCCGCGUGAGUGAUGAAGGUCUUCGGAUCGUAAAACUCUGUUAUUAGGGAAGAACAUAUGUGUAAGUAACUGCGCACAUCUUGACGGUACCUAAUCAGAAAGCCACGGCUAACUACGUGC